GCUUGUUUUACGUCAAUAAUCCCUUAAUAUUGAUGAAAACGUUCUAGAUAUAAGUUAAAUAAUCUGCCAGUGGAACAGGACAUUUUACCUGGACAAAAUGUGUCACCAAGGUGAUGUACAGUAUUUGUUUUUCUCCACCGUUUUGAUCUCGUCUCAGCAAAACGUCUCUGUGUUUACUGUGUCCCUUACAUGUGGUUUUCUUUUCCACACAUCUAUAUUAACUAUAUUUAUCAUAUUUUGGUAACGUCCAGCCUAACAAACAGGCUAAACUCUGUCAAUACGGUAUUACAUCUGGUUUAUCCCAUAAAAUUUAAAUAAAAAUAAAAACGUUGCGACAUGAAUAAAAUGUGAAAAAGUUUAAGGAUGUGAAAACCUUUGCAGCAGUUGAUUGUUUUUUUCGAUUUUUAAUUUGGGAUUAAAAACCAAAACGUUAAAGGAGACAUUACGUUGAUGUUUUUUCUGUUAAAUUCUCAGCUUGGUUUUGGGGGCUGGCGUCGGUGGUGCUUGUGGUUCAUCCAUCCAUUACUGGUCACUCACUCUGCCACGAACUUAUAAAACUCUAAGGAUUAAAGAGGAAUAAUUUGACUGCGAUAUCCUUCUUCUGUAAACCAAUUUGUUAGACUUGAUUGUAAGGUAUAGAUCCCAAAUUUAUUU